AACGAACGCUGGCGGCAGGCUUAACACAUGCAAGUCGAGCGCCCCGCAAGGGGAGCGGCAGACGGGUGAGUAACGCGUGGGAAUCUACCCAUCUCUACGGAAUAACGCAUGGAAACGUGUGCUAAUACCGUAUACGUCCUUCGGGAGAAAGAUUUAUCGGAGAUGGAUGUGCCCGCGUUGGAUUAGCUAGUUGGUGGGGUAAAGGCCUACCAAGGCGACGAUCCAUAGCAGGUCUGAGAGGAUGAUCAGCCACACUGGGACUGAGACACGGCCCAGACUCCUACGGGAGGCAGCAGUGGGGAAUAUUGGACAAUGGGCGCAAGCCUGAUCCAGCCAUGCCGCGUGAGUGAUGAAGGCCCUAGGGUUGUAAAGCUCUUUCACCGGUGAAGAUAAUGACGGUAACCGGAGAAGAAGCCCCGGCUAACUUCGUGCCAGCCGCCGCGGUAAGAC
rnacentral:rRNA from 1 species